GCAAAUGGAGCAGCUGCAAGGCAACCCAGUUGUUCCCAUAGGUUUGCUCCUUCUUUUCGCUGGGAAAGUCAUCCUCCUCUUCCUGAUAUGCUCUUAUGCUAAUUGGUUAUGGAAUUUUUCUAGCAAUACCAGACGAAUUAUUGCAUAUAUGCAACAAUGAACACACAGGCAAGAAAAAAGAGAGGUCCACUUCUAACUGCUGGGCGAGGUAUAAGUACAACAAAGCUACACUGAUUUCUUGAAUUCAUUUUUUUCCCAAGAACCUCAAAUGAAGGGAUCCAUCCAUGAACAAUAUUCUUUAUAGUAGUUCCAGUACAAAUGAUUGAUAAAAAGUACUCAUUUUUUCUCGAUACAGUAAGAAUUAAUUUGGAAAGCUACUGUAUUAAUUCGGCCGAAUACGCACCUUCUCGAAGGUCACAUACAGUAAUUAUGUAUCUAGGUAAACACUUUCUAUAUGACAUAAGCACUUUUGUGUGAUUCCUUUUGGGUCCUCCAAUAGCAAACCUGAAGUAAAAUUAUAAGUCUGGAUGACCUAAUAAAGGUAUGGUUUUGUAACUAGCAUACUCUGUUUCAUUGUUCUUCCAUAGACCCUAUUAAGAAAUUCGCACAUUCUUUUGCUGGUUGCAGGUUUAAUAUCAUUACAGUGUGCACUUGUUUAAGUAAUAUCAUGAUAUUUGUGAUUACUUACAUGUACUAUUUUGCAUUCUGCACAUGUAUUACUUUGUUCAAUCCAAAAAUGUAGAUGGUAUUAUGGGUAUUACUAAUAACCUAUCCGUUCAUCAUGCCCUAUGAUUUUUUUCUCAAUCCUGUCCAAACUAUUGUUAGUCAUUCAGAUCAUGUUUGUGAAUUUUGUCUCCACAAAAAAUACUCCAUGUAGAUCUCUCUCGAUGCUUACUUGGUUGUGAGAAUAACCAGUGUCGGAUUAGAAGUGAUGGCAACUUGGGUGACGUUCUUCCGUUUUGUGACCUUGAGUUGGCAUCCUGGUUUGUGAGAACAUAUAAGGUGUUAUAUUAAUUAGGCACGAUACGUUUGACACCUUGAGCAGGUUGCCUGGUUCAUCAUGCAUUUAAAUGAAGGAUAAAUAGAGAUCGAUAUCCCUAAUUUUAUUGUUGUGCUUGUUUGAAGCGAGAAUGAUGCUAAUUAACUAAUCGUCCGCUAUGACAUACUCUAUGCAAUUUUUUGGAAGUUGUCACUAAAGCAAAAUACAGCAUUUUUGUGCAGAUUCGUGAGUCUCCUACUGUGGAAAAAUAAAGUAAAGAAGAUCAGAGAAUAAUUACAUUGUCAUCUGACCAGGCUAAUCUGCAGAAAGCGUGCAUGGACAGGGAUCGUCCCAGUAACCUCUGCGAAGAGAGGGUGCAUUUAAGGAGAUAUCUUCCUAUAUUUAUCUGCAGCAUCGAUGAUAUCAUGGGCAGUUUUUCUUCUUGUCUAACUAGAUCUAUAUCGUCAUCUAUGUUAGAAUAAUCUCUUCGGUUGACUCAUCCACGCUUGAUAUUAUUUAUGGAAUAGGAAAAUUUUAUUCAACCAGAACUAUUUAGAUCAUCCAUAUGAACAUUUAUCGAUUCUCUGUCAUUUUCAUUCAAGCGUAUGCAUAUUUUUGUGUUGAAUAACAUGUUUGCUGAUGUAAUGCAAGCCAAUAAUUUUCAUGGUCGUGCUACCUUUGGUAUUUCGUACUAUAUAAGAAUUAUGUAAGUAUUUUCAAGUGAGCUUGGCUAUAAAUUGUCAGAUGGCUCUUGAAUCAUUUCAGAUUUCACACACGCUCUGCUAAUC
rnacentral:lncRNA from 1 species